UUGACCUCGGAUCAGGUAGGAAGACCCGCUGAACUUAAGCAUAUCAAUAAGCGGAGGAAAAGAAACCAACAGGGAUUGCCCCAGUAACGGCGAGUGAAGCGGCAACAGCUCAAAUUUGAAAUCUGGCUUC
rnacentral:rRNA from 1 species